rnacentral:rRNA from 1 species
GAUGAACGCUGACAGAAUGCUUAACACAUGCAAGUCUUUGGCGAUGCUGUGCUUGCACAGCCUAGCCAAGGCGGACGGGUGAGUAACGCGUAAGGAACUUGCCCUGCAGUCAGGGAUAACAGACGGAAACGACUGAUAAGACCUGGUAAAGUCAGGCGGACUCAUGUCCAGCCUGAUGAAAAGAGAUGCUGCAGGAGAGCCUUGCGUCCUAUUAGCUUGUUGGUGGGGUAACGGCCCACCAAGGCGAUGAUAGGUAGCCGGCCUGAGAGGGUGGACGGCCACAAGGGGACUGAGAUACGGCCCUUACUCCUACGGGAGGCAGCAGUGGGGAAUAUUGGACAAUGGGGGCAACCCUGAUCCAGCAAUUCUGUGUGCACGAUGAAGGUUUUCGGAUUGUAAAGUGCUUUCAGCAGGGAAGAAAAAAAUGACGGUACCUGCAGAAGAAGCGACGGCUAAAUACGUG